rnacentral:lncRNA from 1 species
CACCCUUAACCCCUCUAAACUUAAUUUUCGAAAAAUAGAUUGACCAAUAUGGAUAUAUAUAUAAAAUCGAUGGCAAUUAAACAAAACUUGCUGCAACUUUGACCCCCUCCCCCAGCAAUUUAUUUGAAUUAAGUUUUUUAUCCUUCAUUGAAUUUUUGAUGUCGUCCCUUAUACAUUGUGUUUUACAGAUAUGUAUAUAUGCAAUGAAUGCAGCAAAUCUUACAAGACUAGAAAAGGUCUUCAAAACCAUGCAUGUAAUAUAUGCCAACUAUGUAGAAAAACCUUUCCAUCAGCACAAAAAUUGAAAAGACAUAAUUGCAAACAACAGAUAUUAAACAAGGAGAUGCUGAAAUGCCAACUUUGUAAAAAGGAAUAUUCUACAGAGAAUAGACUAAGAUCUCAUAAAUGCUCAUAUUGCCAGAUGUGUUCAAUUCUUUUCUCAACAUACCAAAAAUGUUCCAAUCAUAUCUGUCGACAUGCAGGAAAAACCUUGAAUACAGAAAAUGAAACAAAAGAUGAAGUAAAGAAUAACACUAAAAGAAGACAAGACUCAGAAAGUCAAGAAUAACACUCAAGACUCAGAAGACAGAUGAAGUCAAGAAUAACACUCAGAAGACAGAUGAAGUAAAGAAUAACACUCAGAAGAGCAGAUGCAGGAAUCAAGAAUAACACUCAGAAGACAGAUCAAGUCAAGAAUAACACUCAGAAGACAUAUGAAGUAAAGAAUAACACUAAGAAGGCAGAUGAAGUCAAGAAUAACACUCAAAAGACAGAUAAAGUCAAGAAAAACACUCAGAAGACAGAUAAAGUCAAGAAUAACACUCAGAAGACAGAUAAAGUCGAGAAUAACACUCAGAAGACAGAUAAAGUCGAGAAUAACAC